rnacentral:rRNA from 1 species
UACGGAGGGUGCAAGCGUUGUCCGGAAUCACUGGGCGUAAAGGGCGCGUAGGCGGCUCAUGAAGGCUGUGGUGAAAGUCCGGGGCUCAACCUCGGAUCGGCCGUGGCGACUCGUGGGCUGGAGCACUGUAGAGGCGGGUGGAAUUCCGGGUGUAGCGGUGGAAUGCGUAGAGAUCCGGAAGAACACCAGUGGCGAAGGCGGCCCGCUGGGCAGUGGCUGACGCUGAGGCGCGAAAGCCAGGGGAGCGAACGGG